rnacentral:lncRNA from 1 species
AGGGGGUGGUGCCUGCGAUCCCCAAAACCCCUAAGGGCGUUUUUUACAGUGCUCUUUUAGCUCUGCUGACCGCGGAUGGCUUAAGUGUUAACAGCUCAGUGGGCCCUUUGCCUUUUCGCUUGAGUCGGCUGCCCUGUGCCAGCAAGGGCAAAGGGCCAGUGUAACAGCCUUUUGUAUCUGCACUCGUGGCUCCUGAGCUCCUGUUCGGCAUACAGGAAAAAUGAUGUCGCACCAACAAACUGAAGGAUGGUAAAUGUUGAGGAUUUUAUUGCCAAUGAAAGCGGCUGUCAUUGGGAGCUGAAAAGAUGAUGGAAAGCUGAAAAGCGGAUAAGGUGGGUAGGUACCUGAAGUCUGGCCAUCUACGGCAGCUGGAUUCUUCUCCAAAGUUACACUGUCAAGCUGCCCCUCUGAAGCCAAGCCACUUCUCUCUGACAUCCAGCCGUAGUCUCUGCUGCUCUCCAACUGAGUAUGAGGGAGAUGUUUCCUAUUAUCCUUGAUAAUGUGCCAUGAACAUAUGAAAAAACAUAGAAACAUGAAGAAAACAAGAAGAUGAAAAUCGCUAACAUCUGGUUGGCUGUAUAGAAACAAAGCUGAUUCUGGUUGGAGUGCAGUGGUAAGAUCACAGCUCACUGCUGCCUUGACUUCCUGGGCUCAAGUGAUUCUCCUGCCUCAGUCUCCUCAGUAGCUCGGACUACAGCUUGCAAAUGGAUCUUACAGACAUUGUCACAGAGACAAGAAAAGCAUAUAAAAAAAUAAAUAAAGAUGAGCUCCUUCCAAGAUGACUGACUAGAAGCAGCUGGUGUGUGCUGCUCUCACAAAGAGAAGAGUGGUGAGUGGACCAUCCAGGUGGACACAUUGGGAUUCAUCAAGGAAACAAUACACAGAAAACAGAAGAAUGAGACAGGACAAUCAUUCACCCAGAAGUGGCAUAGAGCCGGGAGAUGGCCCUCACCAUGGUUAGUAAGUGAGAGUCCCCAGGGAGUCACACUUCUGCCACAGACCUUUGCAACCCUGGGCCCAGGCGAUCCCCCAUGACACCCGUGCCCCACCAGGGCCUCUGGACUGACAUAGGCAGCUGCAUGGAGUGUGGGCAGAACUGCCGCUCAGGCACACAUGAAAUCCUUGGAGCUUUUCAUCCCCAGGCACCCUGGUACCAAUGGCUGCAGCUGCGGCAAUGGGGGAGGACAGGCUCUCUUGCAUGUCCUCAGAAUAGGAACACAAUCCAUGGGGCUAAGCAGUGGGUGGACUGUGGGGCUCUUCUACACAGCCCGUUGCCAGACUGGCCUGGGAUCCUAGCAUGGUCACAAGAGUCCCACCUGGGCUCUCGAGGAACAGAUCUGUACUUCCCUGGCAUGGAACUCCUGGAGGGGACGGGCAGGCUGCUGUUUUUGCUGCUCCACAGCCCUCACUCCUGUUGCCCUCAGGCUUGGGAGUGAGCACAGUGAUUGGGGACUAACACAGACCCCCAGCACAGUGUACAGACUUGCAGAAAAGCAGCCAGACUGUUUUCCACAUGGGUCCUCACCCCUGCUACUCUUCACUGGGCAGCACCUCUUGACCUUGGCCCCCACCACAACCAACCUGCCCCCACAUGAACGCUUUGUCAGUGAUGGCUCUGUGUUUCUCUGAGGAGAAAAAUCCAAAAGACAAUCCAUAAGCCUUCUGCUAUUGCAGCUGCAGUGGUAUGGCCCUUACUACCUUCAGGCUGGGGAAAGAACAAAGGACUUGGUCCUUACACUGGCCCCUCCAGCACACCACCGCCACCAUAUGGAGAAGAGCCCAGUCUUUCUUCCCCGUAAGCCCCCACUCACCACUGUUCACCAGGCAAGACCCCUAGUUGGGGACAGCAGAGCAGUUGUCCUACCCCCGGGUGAGAAUUCCCACUGCUAUUGGCUCUAUAUUUUCCUGAGGUGGGGCUCCCAGAAGCAAUUGACAUCCCCUCUGUCACUGUCAUGGCAGCGGUUCUGCCCUUACUGCACUCAGACUGGGGAAAGAACAAACAGCCUGAGGUCUUCACUCACACUCCUAGCACAACACAGUCAUGAUAUGGAGAGGAGCCCAGUUGUUCCUCCUGGUGAGCCCUUGACCUCCUACUUUUCACCAAGUGAAGCCUCCAGCUUGGGCUAGCAGUGUAGCCACCCCACCCACUGGCUGAACAUUCUCAGUAGCAAUGGCUUGCGUUUCUCUGAGGUAGGGCUCCCAGGGACAAUGGAAAGCACCUCUCCCAAUGACACUGCAGCGGUACUGCCUUGCUGCCCUUGGACUGGGGAAGGGGCAGAGACCUUGAGUGCUUAACCCACAUGUCCAGGAAGUGGCAGCUGCCCUAAGGAGAGGAGGCCAGUCUGUCUCCUCUGUGAGACCCCUGCCACCCUUGCUCAUCACCAGGCAGGGCCUCCAGGCAUGGAUUCACAAUGCAGCUGCCCCAAUCCCAAGCCCAUCUCUCCAAUUAGUAGUGGCUCUGCAUUUCUCUAGGGUGGAGCCCCAAGAGACAAGUGAAAGGCCCUCUGCCACAGCAACUGCCAAGGUCCCUUCCCCUGUUGCCUUCAAGCUGGGGAGGGAAAAUAAAGCCUUAGCUCGCCCCUAGCAGCAGUGUGCAGCCCAGGAGUGCCAAGGCCAGACCUUUAGCCAGCACUGGAGUGGGAAAGGGAGCCCACACUUUCAGAGCACUGAGAGGGAGCAUGGCUGCAAUCAUGAAGAAAUACAGAGGAGCCACGUGGUGGAGCAAGAGCCCACCUACUGGCCAUUACACUUCAGUGCCAUCUACUGGAUCAUAGCCCAAACUCCAACUCCAAAUAUACUUGCUAAUAUACCCCCCUCUGUGAAAACAACGACAAGAUUUCAACAACAAAGACCCUGCACAAAACCUCGGCCCUCAAAAAACAUUCAGAAAAGGAGUCUGCACUCAAUUACACCACAGUUAAAGGAGCAUCAGCCCACACAGAUGAGAAAAAACUGGUGCAAGAGCUCUAACAACUAAACUACAGUGUUUUCUUUCCUCCAAAUAACUGCACUAGUUCACAAGGAAGGGUUCUUAACCAGGCGGAAAGGGUGGAAAUGACAGAGAGAGAAUUCAAAAUAUGGAUAGGAAUGAAGGUCAUCAAGAUUCAGGAGAAAGUCAAAACCCAAUCCAAGGAAUCUAACAAUUACAAUAAAACAAUACAGGAGUUGAAAGACAAAAGGGCCAUUAUAAGAAAGAACCAAACUGAUCUGAUAGAGCUAAAAAACACACUAAAUAAUUCCUUAAUAUAAUUACAAGUAUUAACAGCAGAAUAGACCAAGCUGAAGAAAGAAUCUCAGAGCUCACAGGCAACAUCUCUGAACUCAGUCAGACAAAAAUAAGAAUAAAGAAGAAUGAACAAAACCUCCGAGAAAUAUGGGAUUAUGUAGAGACGAAAUCUAUGACUCAUUGGCAUCCUUGAAAGAGAGGAGGAGAAAGCAAGCAACUUGGAAAACAUAUUUCAGAAUAUCAUCUAUGAAGACUUCCCCAACAUCGCUAUGGAGGACAACAUUCAAAAUCAGGAAAUCUCUGUGAGAUUCUAUAUAAGAAGACCAUCCACAAGCCACAUGGUCGUCAGAUUCUUCAAGGCCAAAACAAAAGAAAAAAUGUUAAAGGAAGCUAGAGAGAAGAGGCAGAUCACCUACAAAGGAAACCUCAUUAGGCUAACAGCAGAUCAUUCAGCAGAAAUCCCACAAGCCAGAAGAGAUUAGGAGUGUGUAUUCAGCAUUCUUAAGGAAAAGAAAUUUCAACCAAGAAUCUCAUAUCUAGCCAAACUUAGUUUCAUUAGCGAAGGAGAAAUAAGAUCCUAUUCAGACAAGCAAAUGCUAAGGGAAUUCAGUACCACCAGACAUGCUCUAUAAGAGAUCCUGAAGCAAGUGCCAAAUAUAGAACAGAAAGACUGUUACUGACCACUGCAAAAGCACACUAAAAACAUAGACCAUUGACACUGUAAAGCAACCACACAAAUAAAGCUGCAUAAUAACCAGCUAACAGCACAAUGACAGGAUCAAAUCAGCAAAUACCAAUAUUAACCUUGAAAGUGAAGGGGCUAAGUGCCCCAAUGAAAAGUCACAGAGUGGCAAGUUGGAUAAAGAGCAAGACCCUGGCCAGGCAGGUGACUCAUGCCUGUAAUCUCAGCACUUUGGGAAGCCGACACAGGUGAAUCAAGAAUUCGAGACCAGUCUGGCCAACAUGGUGAAACCCCAUCUCUAUUAAAAUACAAAAAUUAGCCCUGGACAUGGUGGUGCUCAUCUAUAGUCCCAGGUACUAGGGAGGCUGAGGCGGGAGGAUCAGUUGGACCCAGGAGGCAGAGGUUGCAGUGAGCUGAGAUCAUGGCACUGCGCUUCAGCCUAAAAAAAAAAAAAAAAAAAAAAGAAGCAUGAUCCAACUGUAUGCUGUCUUCAACAGACAUAUCUCACAUGGAUCCAUAGGCUUAAAGUAAAGGGAUGAAGAAAAAUCUACCAAGCCAAUGGAAAACAGAAAAUCGCAGGGGUUGACAGUUGAAUUUCAGUCAAAACAGACUUUAAACCAACAAUGAUCAAGAAAGACAAAGGAAGACAUUACAUAAUAGUAAAGGGUUCAAUACAACAGAAAGAUGUUACUAUUGUAAAUAUAUAUGCAUCCAACACAGAAUCCAGAUUCAUAAAGCAAGUUCUUAGAGACCUAUGAAGAGACUUAGUUAACUGGACAAUAAUAGUGGUAGACUUCAACACCCCAUUGACAGUAUUACACAGAUCACUGAGGCAGAAAACUCACAAAAAUAUCCAGGAUUCAAACUCAACAUUGACCAAAUGGACUCAAUACACAUCUGUAGAACUCUCCACCAAACAACACCAGAAUAUAUAUUCUACUCAUCUGCACAGAGCACACACUGCAAAAGAGAAAACACAAUUAGCCAUAAAAUAAUCCUCAGGAAAUCAAAAACAAACAAACAAAAACA